rnacentral:rRNA from 1 species
GAUGAACGCUAGCGACAGGCUUAACACAUGCAAGUCGAGGGGCAGCACAGGUAGCAAUACCGGGUGGCGACCGGCGCACGGGUGAGUAACGCGUAUGCAACUUACCUAUCAGAGGGGGAUAACCCGGCGAAAGUCGGACUAAUACCGCAUGAAGCAGGGGUCCCGCAUGGGGAUAUUUGCUAAAGAUUCAUCGCUGAUAGAUAGGCAUGCGUUCCAUUAGGCAGUUGGCGGGGUAACGGCCCACCAAACCGACGAUGGAUAGGGGUUCUGAGAGGAAGGUCCCCCACAUUGGUACUGAGACACGGACCAAACUCCUACGGGAGGCAGCAGUGAGGAAUAUUGGUCAAUGGCCGAGAGGCUGAACCAGCCAAGUCGCGUGAGGGAUGAAGGUUCUAUGGAUCGUAAACCUCUUUUAUAAGGGAAUAAAGUGCGGGACGUGUCCCGUUUUGUAUGUACCUUAUGAAUAAGGAUCGGCGAACUCCGU